rnacentral:rRNA from 1 species
UACGUAGGGUGCGAGCGUUUGUCCGGAAUUAUUGGGCGUAAAGAGCUUGUAGGCGGUCUGUCGCGUCUGCUGUGAAAAUCCGGGGCUCAACCCCGGACUUGCAGUGGGUACGGGCAGGCUAGGAGUGUGGUAGGGGAGACUGGAAUUCCUGGUGUAGCGGUGGAAUGCGCAGAUAUCAGGAGGAACACCGAUGGCGAAGGCAGGUCUCUGGGCCACUACUGACGCUGAGAAGCGAAAGCAUGGGGAGCGAACAGG